rnacentral:rRNA from 1 species
UCCUUUAGUUUUUAUUUAAGGUCUAACCUGCCCUAUGAGUUUUAAAUGGCCGCAGUAUUCUGACUGUGCGAAGGUAGCAUAAUAAUUUGUCUUUUAAUUGAGGACUUGAAUGAAAGGUUGGACGAAGAACUAACUUUCUUUGUCUUAUUGUAGUGAAUUUUAUUUUCUUGUGAGAAAGCAUGGAUUUGCUUAGGGGACGAUAAGACCCUAUAAAACUUUACUUUUUAGGUGAUAAUGAUUGGUUUAGGUUUUUAUUUUUGUUUUUUUCUGAAAAGUUUUGUUGGGGAGACAGGUAAAUUUAUCAAACUUUAUCUUUUUUUUUCAUUAAUGCAUGAAUUAGUGAUCCGGAUUUUCCGAUUAUAAGAUUAAGUUACUUUA